rnacentral:rRNA from 1 species
CUACGGGGGGCUGCAGUCGGGAAUAUUGCACAAUGGGCGCAAGCCUGAUGCAGCAACGCCGCGUGGGGGACGACGGCCUUCGGGUUGUAAACCUCUUUUAGUAGGGAAGAAGCGCAAGUGACGGUACCUACAGAAAAAGCACCGGCUAACUACGUGCCAGCAGCCGCGGUAAUACGUAGGGUGCAAGCGUUGUCCGGAAUUAUUGGGCGUAAAGAGCUCGUAGGCGGUUUGUCGCGUCUGCUGUGAAAAUCCGAGGCUCAACCUCGGACCUGCAGUGGGUACGGGCAAACUAGAGUGCGGUAGGGGAGAUUGGAAUUCCUGGUGUAGCGGUGGAAUGCGCAGAUAUCAGGAGGAACACCAAUGGCGAAGGCAGAUCUCUGGGCCGUAACUGACGCUGAGGAGCGAAAGCGUGGGGAGCGAACAGGAUUAGAUACCCCGGUAGUC